ensembl:lncRNA
AUUUCUCCCAAAGGAGCAAGGAAAACCCAUCCCAGCGAUCUUUACCCUCAAGCACGUUUAUUGCUUUCUACGUAUUCAACAGCUGAAGGCCACACAGCUGAGUUGCUGGCUUCACUGAACUCGAAUAGUCCAGUCAAGGGCCAUUAUUUUAUCCAAUAUGGAAGAGUGGACAUCUCAACAAGCUUUCCCAAGCUACCAUGGCAGGUAAACACCCAGAAGUCGGACAAUUGUGAUAACCCAGGACCACAGACAACCCUGGAUAAGAUGCACUUUCUGCAGAGGUUACCCUGUCUUUCUCUCCCAUCCGAGUCUCUCCAGAAUCGUCCUUUUCUUGUUUCGCUUAGAGUUUACAUGUGAUGAUUCUCAAAAUUGGAUAUAUAUUGAGAUACAGAUCAUUUUUUUUAGGACAUGUUUACUUACACAAGGUUUCAGGAGCAUUUUGAAGUUAAAUACUAAUUCUUUGCUAUGUCUCAAUAUAAGAAUGGAAGGAUGCCUCACUAAUAAAGAAACUACUACUUCAUCAGCGAUCGUAUACCUUCUCUGCAGCUCACUCUGUGCCAGACCUUGGACUGAAGGUUAUAAAUGCUGUCAUGGAGAAUCACAAGGUAUUAGGCAAGAGAGUAGCAUUUGCUUGGCUGGCAUAUCAUCCCACCCAUCAUUCAUUAAUGAACAUCAUUUCUAGCCUCAAAGAUUUAAAAUGUUAUCUCCUAUAGGAAGGUUGUUCUGCAAUUUCAGGAAAAAAAAAAUGUUUCAUUGUAUUUCCCAAAAUGUGAGCAAAUCAUUUAGAAAGCAAGUUCAGGACAGUCCAAAUUAAACUAAGAGACAUUGAUUGACUUUGAGUGAAUGUUUGCACUCAUGGUUAACUGCAUGCCCUUCCACGUAAGAUGGACCAGUGUUCAUUCCCCAGCUGCUUCUUUAAUGACUGUGUGAUCCCACCAAGGUUGUUUAACUUUACUUCCCUCCUUUGAAAGAGGACCAAAAUACCUAUCCCUUUAGUUUGUUUUGACAAUUCCAAUGUUACCCAUUACACUAAUUAUUCCAAGCCAGCACUUUAAAAAGACAUCAGUUUAUGAAAAUAGCUAGGAAAUAUUAAGCUGACAUUUCUUCAGAGAAAUUUAUUGGAGAGAGUUUUCUGUUCCUUUGCCCUGUUUCUAAAAACAUCCCCACAGCACAUUUUCUCUCCCAUGUAUUUCUCUAAUAUUUAUCUUUGUUUCUUUCUGAUUUGGGAAGAAACAUCAAGGAAGCCAAAGACCUAUCCUUUCUGUAGUAGGAAAAAUGGGAUGUGAGAGGAUGGUCAUGUCCCAGGCUGCCAAAUGAGGGUCCUUGUCUUUGUGUCGGAAAGAAUUCAAGAGCGGACCUGAGUGAAGCAAAAGCAGGUUGUUUAGAAAUAGACAGUCCAUAUACAGUGUGGGCCAUCUCUGAAGGCAAGAGGCAUAGGGUCAUCACAGAAAGUGAGAGUUGCCCCAGGGUAUAUGAGGUGGUUUGUUUUUUAUGGGCUGGAUCAUUUCAGACACUAAUGAGCUGGAGGAAUAUUCUGUCUUGGAGAGGGGGCGGGGAUUUCUAGGAACUAGAGCACCACCCACUUUUUGGCCUUUUAUGGUCAGCCUGGGACAGUCUU